AGCUCCAAUAGCGUAUAUUAAAGUUGUUGCCGUUAAAAAGCUCGUAGUCGAACUUCGGCCCGUGGGGGCUGGUCCGCCUUAUGGGUGUGUACUAGUUUCCUCGCGGGCUUACCUCUUGGUGAGCCUGGAUGCUCUUUAUUGGGUGUCCAGGGUAACCAGGACUUUUACUUUGAGAAAAUUAGAGUGUUCAAAGCAGGCCUACGCCUGAAUACAUUAGCAUGGAAUAAUAGAAUAGGACGUGCGGUCCUAUUGUGUUGGUCUUAAGGAUCGCCGUAAUGAUUAAUAGGGAUAGUUGGGGGCAUUCGUAUUCAAUUGCUAGAGGUGAAAUUCUUGGAUUUAUUGAAGACGAACUACUGCGAAAGCAUUUGCCAAGGAUGUUUUCA
rnacentral:rRNA from 1 species